UACGUAGGGGGCAAGCGUUGUCCGGAAUCAUUGGGCGUAAAGAGCGUGUAGGCGGCCCGGUAAGUCUGUUGUGAAAGUCCAGGGCUCAACCCUGGAAUGCCGAUGGAUACUGCCGGGCUAGAGUUCGGAAGAGGCGAGUGGAAUUCCUGGUGUAGCGGUGGAAUGCGCAGAUAUCAGGAGGAACACCGGUGGCGAAGGCGGGUCUCUGGGCAGUAACUGACGCUGAGGAGCGAAAGCGUGGGGAGCGAACAGG
rnacentral:rRNA from 1 species